rnacentral:rRNA from 1 species
CCUACGGGUGGCUGCAGUGGGGAAUAUUGGACAAUGGGCGAAAGCCUGAUCCAGCCAUGCCGCGUGUGUGAAGAAGGCCUUCGGGUUGUAAAGCACUUUCAGUGGGGAAGAAAGCCUUGGGGCUAAUACCCUCGAGGAAGGACAUCACCCACAGAAGAAGCACCGGCUAACUCCGUGCCAGCAGCCGCGGUAAUAAGGAGGGUGCGAGCGUUAAUCGGAAUUACUGGGCGUAAAGCGCGCGUAGGCGGUCUGAUAAGCCGGUUGUGAAAGCCCCGGGCUCAACCUGGGAACGGCAUCCGGAACUGUCAGGCUAGAGUGCAGGAGAGGAAGGUAGAAUUCCCGGUGUAGCGGUGAAAUGCGUAGAGAUCGGGAGGAAUACCAGUGGCGAAGGCGGCCUUCUGGACUGACACUGACGCUGAGGUGCGAAAGCGUGGGUAGCAAACAGGAUUAGAUACCCGUGUAGUC